GACUUGGUGGGUCUAUUGGAAGCCUUGUCCGACAUGGGUCUUCAUGAGGGAGUUAGGCUGCUGAAGGCGCCUGAGACCCGAGACAAGCUGCCCAGCACAGGUAAAGGCACCGGCUCGGAAGGUGUGCCUGGGCUGAGGGUAAGAGGCCUGAGGCUUGACUCCCCCCUGUCCCCUGGCAGAGGUGAAAGAAGACAGUGCCUACGGGAGCCAGUCAGUGGAGCAGGAGGCAGAGAAGCUGUGUCCACCCCCUGAGCCUCCAGGAGGGCUCUGCCACGGGCACCCCCAGCCUCAGGUGCACUGAAUGCUACCCGGUCAACUUCCACCUGGAUCCCUCUGUACAGCAUCCCUGCCUAAUUGAAAUCUUAUUUAAACUUCAAGCCCACACCUCAGUGGGCCAAAUAAAGGGAAAGACCCCUUCCCAGUUUACGGUACGGCAACCCCAAUGUCACGCCAGUCCCUGUCCCCGAGCAAGAACAGAGGAGGCCCAAGCCAGCAAUUCAGAGCAGUUUUAAUGAGGGUGAAGGCUAUACAAAGGGCAGGGCCCACCAGAGGAGGGAAGCAGGCCGUGCCACCCCAGCCUGUGGAUGGGGCCUCAGCAUGGACGCCUUUCCUCUGUCUCUGCAAAGAGAGAGGUGAGCCCUUGGGGAGAAAGAGGGGGACCAGCUCAGCCCCAACUCCUGGCCUCUGUCUGAGCCAGGCCCCAGGAUGGAGGGGUAUUGCUGGUGUAAGGGUGGGGGGGUCUCAGCAGAAAGCAGAAACUUUAUCAGGCCUCCCCACCCACAAAAAAAAGAAAAAAAAAGAAAAGAAAAAGAAGAGAAAAG
rnacentral:lncRNA from 1 species